GUCGACGCUGGCGGCGUGCCUAAUACAUGCAAGUCGAGCGGACAGAUGGGAGCUUGCUCCCUGAUGUUAGCGGCGGACGGGUGAGUAACACGUGGGUAACCUGCCUGUAAGACUGGGAUAACUCCGGGAAACCGGGGCUAAUACCGGAUGCUUGAUUGAACCGCAUGGUUCAAUUAUAAAAGGUGGCUUUUAGCUACCACUUACAGAUGGACCCGCGGCGCAUUAGCUAGUUGGUGAGGUAACGGCUCACCAAGGCAACGAUGCGUAGCCGACCUGAGAGGGUGAUCGGCCACACUGGGACUGAGACACGGCCCAGACUCCUACGGGAGGCAGCAGUAGGGAAUCUUCCGCAAUGGACGAAAGUCUGACGGAGCAACCGCCGCGUGAGUGAUGAAGGUUUUCGGAUCGUAAAACUCUGUUGUUAGGGAARAACAAAGUACCGUUCCAAUAGGGCGGGUACCUUGACGGUACCUAACCAGAAAAGCCACGGGUUAACUACGUGCCAGCAGCCCG
rnacentral:rRNA from 1 species